GAUUUCUUGGCUGUGGCGGCUGCGGCGGCGCAGAUCCUGAGCCAAGCUAGGCGGGCACGCGCAGCAAAGAAGCUGAUCCAUCUCCUCCUCGAUGGCUCCUAGCCGUUUCUUCGCCAGUGGCGCGGUUUGAGGCAGAUUGGAUCGGAUUCCUCACCUCCUCCCCACUCUCAGGCUCCCAGAUCAGCUCGCCGUCCUCCUCCGCCCACCCCCCCCCCCCCCCGUCCCGUCACCUCCUCUCGCGAUUCAGCACUAGCUCGGCGGUCGUGGAUCCUCGCCUCCUUCCCGGCCGACCGCUUCUUGUUCUGCGAAUAGGCCACCACGGUUCUUCAUUCUUCAGGAUCCAAUAAUGGAGGGUAGCAGUGCGAUGUCUCCUCUAGUAGAGCCCUCAAUUGCAAUGAUCGCAGCAUGUGCACCAGCACUAUCAGCCAUGGAAUCGGUUAACAGUGUUCAAAAUCAAGAUUUCAGCGAUGCAACGUCAUUCGCAGAAAUUAAUUCCCCAAUGCUCCAUGGAAGGAAUUGAAUUCCUGCACAAUAGUUUGUGUGGCAUUGCUGUGAAAAGGAAGAUAGUUGCUGUGAGGGACAAGCUAGAAGAUCUCAUACGAAAAUCCAAACGCUCCAUGGAAGGAAUUGAAUUCCUGCACAAUAGUUUGUGUGGCAUUGAGUUGGGUUUAGCCCAACUAGUUUCGACCGUACCAUGCAAUACACAAGAAAAUGAGGAGUCAUGUAUUGGGAGUGUCAUUCCAAAGGAUGUUACCAUCCUCACACCUAAGGAUAUCAAUGCAAGGGGCACAUGCUCUAGAAUAAAGCGCCAUAGGGAUGGUGCGAGGAGUGGAUCCGGUGAGAAGAGAAGGCCUGGAAUUCAUCAAAAAGUCAAGCACAAAUGCAGCAUUUGUAAGGAAAUGGUGUUUCAUGAUGCAAGAACAUAUUCUAAGAAACAAACAACA